UGGGCCCUGGUCUGACCUGUCACUGCCUCCGUGCAUGCUGUGCGGAGGCGCGUGUCAUUGGUGGGAGGACCCCGCGUCUCGUACGUCCCCGCCCUCGUCACUGCCCUACCCAGGGAGAUGACGUUACGUCGUGCCCUUCUGUGCACAUGCACGCUACGGACGUGGCUGCGCACGCUCUGCAGACCUGGCUGACUGGUCAGUCGGGGUUAUGCAGGGACACGGCUACAUCGCCGUGAUUUGGGCAAUUUUAAAUGACGUCAUUAUCGGUGCGACGGAGACGCCGACAUGCAGGUGGGUCUUCUCCCACUCCACCUGUUACUAACCAGCCCUUAGUGGACUAUAUAUAGACCAGGUAAGCAGCUGUUCAGUGUACUGGCGCUACUCUGUUACCAGGGACACACUCAGCUAUACACUGUACUGCAACACUAAGGUAAGGCGAUUUCCUAGGAUAUCUACAAGCUGUGGGCUAAUGCUUUGCUACAGAUUUGUAGUUUCUAUAUUUACCACCUCAACCUUUGUUUACCCCAGUCUUAUUUUAUACAUAUUUGUUUUGUAUCCUUUAGGACUUUAACGCCUUUGCCUAUUAUCCUUUCCAUACCCAUGGACUAAGGUCAGUUAGGUAGGCGAUUAUUUAGACAGAUUUACCCAUCUGUUUUUCUAUGUCCGAUUAAUACACUGUAUGCACUAGCUGGGUGUGUGAACAUAUACCUGGAUCAGAUUCAUUGUUCGUUGCUUACCAGCAAUCAACUGCCAUACCACCGCAUGCAAUUUAGUUCUGCUUUUUCUUUAUGAUUAUACUCUCCUAUCUGGUUGAAACAAUUUCCUUGUGAAUUACAAUCAGUGAUAGGCCAAUAAAAGACCGUUCGUUGAUUACCACCAACGCGGGAUACCCCUUAAUGAAAUAUCUAUGCUCCUGAGGAAGCGCUAAUUCCAUA